AUGAUAUGCCUCACCACAUCAUCUCCAAAUCGUACCGUCAAACCUAUGACGACAUAUUUGCACACAAAGACCGCAUCGCCUCAAGGCAACACCUUUAAUAAGGUCAAUGGUGCAACUAGACGACCUCAACCAGGACCAAAUAAUAUCAAUAAGCGGUUUGAAGCGAGGUGGUUCCUAGAAGAUGGGUGUGAGGAGGUUGUGGUGAAUGCUUGCGACAAAGCUGGGAGUACAUGGGAGGGUAAUGCGGCACAGCGGCACAAGUGUGUAUCGCGGGAACUUGAUGAAUGGAGCAGAGAUGUAUUGGGUGACUUGCAAAAACGUAUUAAAAAGCUCAAAGAGGAGUUAGAAAGGUGCCGAAGAGGGGAUCUAACAGAAGCUGUGGUCCGGAGGGAACAAGUGCUAUGUUUCAAGCUUGAGCGUCUUGAAGAGCAGCUCGAAAUCUUCUAG
rnacentral:rRNA from 1 species